ensembl:lncRNA
UGUGAAACUGAACAGCGGCCGAAUCAGACAGCGGAUCAAUGUGAAGACGUCGGACUCUGGCGGAUUCUCUUCAUCGUACUCGGAACAAUAAACUGUCUCGUCAUUGCUGUAGUCGCAGGUGAGUGUAAAUAUACUCCAGCUGUAAUCUCUUCUGUUUUAUAUAUAAUCAUUUAUAUAUUUUAAUAAUGAACUUUCCAUAAUUUUGUAAUUAUUAUUUAAAUAUUUGAUAAUUUUUGUGAAUAAAAGAGGGGGUAACGGUGGCGUUGAGGUUAGCAUUGUUGGCUCGCACCUCAGGGAUUAACGGUUCGAAUUGUACCUCCCCUGAUCGCAUGUUCUGCUCGUGCUUUGGGGGUUUUCCUCUCCAGUCCAAAGACGAAUUGUAGGCUGAUUGGCAUUUCCAGAUUGUCCAUAGUGUGUGUGUGUUUGAGCCCUGCGAUGGGUUGGCACCCUGUCCAAGGUUUCCCCCGCCUUGUUCCGUGGAAUAGGCUCCAGGUUCCCCACAACCCUGUGUAGGAUAAACACUACAGAAAAUGGAUGGAUAAAUGAUUUUUGAGUUGUAUGAAACAAAAAUAGAACUAAAUGUAAGAAAAAAGAAUCCCACAAUCAUUCAGCGUGUUUACAUGGACAACAAUAAUCCACUAUUAACCCGAUUAAGACAAUACUGUGAUUAAGAA